UAUUAUCAAUGAUGACGAAGAUUGCUAUAGUUAUCCCUGUCAGAAUAUGACUAAAUGUUGAUAUCACGUCAGUCUGAGACAAUA
rnacentral:snoRNA from 1 species